GGCUGGCUGGUUUAAUGGGUUAGAAUGUUAGAGCUCUGCCAAUGUCUGCAGUCUCAUAUGCUCAGGUUGAGGGUUUGAAUCCCUUGCUUGACA